UGGCUGUUUUUUGAAUAGUUUAUAAAUGCCC
rnacentral:piRNA from 1 species